AGUGAACGCUGGCGGUAGGCCUAACACAUGCAAGUCGAACGGCAGCACAGUGAGAGCUUGCUCUUACGGGUGGCGAGUGGCGGACGGGUGAGGAAUACAUCGGAAUCUACUUUUUCGUGGGGGAUAACGUAGGGAAACUUACGCUAAUACCGCAUACGACCUACGGGUGAAAGCAGGGGAUCUUCGGACCUUGCGCGAUUGAAUGAGCCGAUGUCGGAUUAGCUAGUUGGCGGGGUAAAGGCCCACCAAGGCGACGAUCCGUAGCUGGUCUGAGAGGAUGAUCAGCCACACUGGAACUGAGACACGGUCCAGACUCCUACGGGAGGCAGCAGUGGGGAAUAUUGGACAAUGGGCGCAAGCCUGAUCCAGCCAUACCGCGUGGGUGAAGAAGACCUUCGGGUUGUAAAGCCCUUUUGUUGGGAAAGAAAAGCAGCAGGUUAAUACCCCGCUGUUCUGACGGUACCCAAAGAAUAAGCACCGGCUAACUUCGUG
rnacentral:rRNA from 1 species